rnacentral:rRNA from 1 species
UCGCAUCGAUGAAGAACGCAGCGAAAUGCGAUAAGUAAUGUGAAUUGCAGAAUUCAGUGAAUCAUCGAAUCUUUGAACGCACCUUGCGCCCUUUGGCUAUUCCGAAGGGCAUGCCUGUUUGAGUAUCA